rnacentral:rRNA from 1 species
AGUAACACGUGGGUAACCUGCCCAUCRGAGGGGGAUAACACUUGGAAACAGGUGCUAAUACCGCAUAAUAGUCGACACCGCAUGGUGUUGAUUUGAAAGACGCUUUCGGGUGUUACUGAUGGAUGGACCCGCGGUGCAUUAGCUAGUUGGUGAGGUAACGGCUCACCAAGGCGAUGAUGCAUAGCCGACCUGAGAGGGUGAUCGGCCACACUGGGACUGAGACACGGCCCAGACUCCUACGGGAGGCAGCAGUAGGGAAUCUUCGGCAAUGGACGAAAGUCUGACCGAGCAACGCCGCGUGAGUGAAGAAGGUUUUCGGAUCGUAAAACUCUGUUGUUAGAGAAGAACAAGUAGGAGAGUAACUGCUCUUACCUUGACGGUAUCUAACCAGAAAGCCACGGCUAACUACGUGCCAGCAGCCGCGGUAAUACGUAGGUGGCAAGCGUUGUCCGGAUUUAUUGGGCGUAAAGCGAGCGCAGGCGGUUUCUUAAGUCUGAUGUGAAAGCCCCCGGCU